CUUUGACUUCCUGAUAGAGUCGUGUCAGGUGGGAAUGGUCAAACCUGAACCUCAGAUCUACAAGUUUCUGCUGGACACCCUGAAGGCCAGCCCCAGUGAGGUCGUUUUUUUGGAUGAUAUCGGGGCUAAUCUGAAGCCAGCCCGUGACUUGGGAAUGGUCACCAUCCUGGUCCAGGACACUGACACGGCCCUGAAAGAACUGGAGAAAGUGACCGGAGUCCAGCUUCUCAAUACCCCGGCCCCUCUGCCGACCUCUUGCAAUCCAAGUGACAUGAGCCAUGGGUACGUGACAGUAAAGGUGAGUCAGUUUUGUCUCUCAGUCAGCUGAGUGCUCUCCCACCAGGUCACCUAAAACGACCAACAGAGACACCCAAGAGGCUGAGCUGCAAGGAUCACCUGAACCUGAGCCUGGGAAGUGGAGGUUGCAGUGAGCCGUGAUCACACCACUGUACUCCAGCCUGGGCGACAGAGUGAGACCCUGUCUCAAG
rnacentral:sRNA from 1 species